rnacentral:rRNA from 1 species
UACGGAGGGGGCUAGCGUUGUUCGGAAUUACUGGGCGUAAAGCGCACGUAGGCGGCUUUGUAAGUUAGAGGUGAAAGCCCAGGGCUCAACCCUGGAAUUGCCUUUAAGACUGCAUCGCUUGAAUCAUGGAGAGGUGAGUGGAAUUCCGAGUGUAGAGGUGAAAUGCGUAGAUAUCGGGAGGAACACCUGUGGCGAAAGCGGCGCACUGGACCACAUCUGACGCUGAGGCGCGAAAGCUAGGGGAGCAAACAGG